rnacentral:tRNA from 1 species
GUAGAUAUAGUUUAAAGCUAAGACAUUAGACUGUGGCUCUAAAAAUGAAGGUUCAAGUCCUUCUAUUUACCGAGAGAGACU